rnacentral:rRNA from 1 species
ACGGAGGGUGCGAGCGUUAUUCGGAAUUACUGGGCGUAAAGCGCGUGCAGGCGGUUUGGCAAGUCUGAUGUGAAAGCCCCGGGCUUAACCUGGGAAGUGCAUUGGAAACUGGCAGACUUGAGUGCUGAAGAGGAAAGGGGAAUUCCAUGUGUAGAGGUGAAAUGCGUAGAUAUAUGGAGGAACACCAGUGGCGAAGGCGGCUUUCUGGUCGGUUACUGACGCUGAGGCGCGAAAGCAUGGGGAGCAAACAG